AGGUGGGUGAGGGGGCAGAGAGAAGGGAGCGGAAGGGCGUUGUGGUCGAGGCGAAGGGUGAGCGACGUGAGGUCGGUGCAGGCGAGGAGGGAGGGAGGGAGCACGGCGAGGCGGGAGCGCGGGAGGUGGAGCUCCAACUGCUCGACGCCUCGCGCCGCGGCGGCGUCGAGCCAGGAGGCGACGUGGCUGGCCGCGGAGGCGGCGAAGACCUGGUCGAAGAAGCCGUCGAGCGCGAGGCGGAGGCGGCGGAGCGGGCGUUGCCGCGAGCCCGCGAGCGCGGCGGUGGCGGCGGCCGCGAAUGCCGUCCUGCGGCGGGGGGGGGGGNUUUUUUUUUUUUUGGGCCGCGAAUGCCGUCCUGCGGCGGGGCGCGGCGGGGAACGCCGCGGCGAAGUCGAGGUCGAGCUCCGGCGCGGCGGCCACCGCGCCGCGCCACCGGCGCGAGAUGGCGGACGCAGCGACGGCGGACCUGAAGGGCAGCUUGGAGACGAUCAGCCCGAGGACCGCGUCGGGGAAGGCCUCGAACGGGUCGACGGCGCCGCCGCCAUCGCCGUGGC
rnacentral:lncRNA from 1 species